AUGCCUUUGAAUAAUGACAACGAUGUGUUAAGGUUCAUGGAAGAUGUUAGAGGAUUUAAAGUUAUUGGAGUCUAUGUUGAACACAAAGUUGAAGAAGUUAAUAUUGAAGAUGUUAUUUUUGAGGAGGUUAAUGGUGAAGAUGAAAAUGUUAAUGGAGCAAAUGCAGAAGAAAAUGCCGAGGGAGAAAAUGAAGAAGCAAACGUUGAAGGAGCAAAUGAAUGA